rnacentral:ncRNA from 1 species
CAAAAGCUUGGUCCUGACUUUACUAUCAACUUUAGCUUAACUUACACAUGCAAGUAUCCGCACCCCCGUGAGAAUGCCCCACAGUUCCCUGCCCGGGAACAAGGAGCUGGUAUCAGGCACACUCAAUUUCAGCCCACGACACCUUGCUUAGCCACACCCUCAAGGGUAUUCAGCAGUGAUAAACCUUAAGCCAUAAGUGAAAACUUGACUUAGUCAAAGCUAAGAGGGCCGGUAAAACUCGUGCCAGCCACCGCGGUUAUACGAGAGACCCAAGUUGAUAGACCCGGCGUAAAGAGUGGUUAAGGAAAAACUAAAACUAAAGCCGAACAUCUUCAAUACUGUUAUACGCACCCGAAGAUAAGAAGUCCAACUACGAAAGUGGCUUUAUACCCACCCCGAACCCACGAAAGCUAUGACACAAACUGGGAUUAGAUACCCCACUAUGCUUAGCCCUAAACAUUGAUAGUAUAAUACACCUACUAUCCGCCUGGGAAUUACGAGCAUUAGCUUAAAACCCAAAGGACUUGGCGGUGCUUUAGACCCACCUAGAGGAGCCUGUCCUAGAACCGAUAACCCCCGUUCAACCUCACCCUUCUUUGUUUUCCCCGCCUAUAUACCGCCGUCGUCAGCUUACCCUGUGAAGGACUAAUAGUAAGCAGAAUUGGCACAGCCCAAAACGUCAGGUCGAGGUGUAGCGUAUGGAAGGGGAAGAGAUGGGCUACAUUCCCUAACACAGGGAAUACGAAUGAUAUACUGAAACGUACAUCCUGAAGGAGGAUUUAGCAGUAAGCAGAAAACAGAGAGUUCUACUGAAGCUGGCCCUGAAGCGCGCACACACCGCCCGUCACUCUCCCCUGGUUUAGCAAAACUCAAGUAACUAAAAUCAAAUCGCCCCAAAGGGGAGGCAAGUCGUAACAUGGUAAGUGUACCGGAAGGUGCACUUGGAAAAAU